AGUGAACGCUGGCGGUAGGCCUAACACAUGCAAGUCGAACGGCAGCACAGUAAGAGCUUGCUCUUACGGGUGGCGAGUGGCGGACGGGUGAGGUAUACAUCGGAAUCUACUUUUUCGUGGGGGAUAACGUAGGGAAACUUACGCUAAUACCGCAUACGACCUACGGGUGAAAGCAGGGGAUCUUCGGACCUUGCGCGAUUGAAUGAGCCGAUGUCGGAUUAGCUAGUUGGCGGGGUAAAGGCCCACCAAGGCGACGAUCCGUAGCUGGUCUGAGAGGAUGAUCAGCCACACUGGAACUGAGACACGGUCCAGACUCCUACGGGAGGCAGCAGUGGGGAAUAUUGGACAAUGGGCGCAAGCCUGAUCCAGCCAUACCGCGUGGGUGAAGAAGGCCUUCGGGUUGUAAAGCCCUUUUGUGGGGAAAGAAAAGCAGCAGGUUAAUACCCCGCUGUUCUGACGGUACCCAAAGAAUAAGCACCGGCUAACUUCGUG
rnacentral:rRNA from 1 species